rnacentral:rRNA from 1 species
CAGGCUUAACACAUGCAAGUCGAGGGGCAUCAGGAAGAAAGCUUGCUUUCUUUGCUGGCGACCGGCGCACGGGUGAGUAACACGUAUCCAACCUGCCCUUUACUCGGGGAUAGCCUUUCGAAAGAAAGAUUAAUACCCGAUAGCAUAAUGAUUCCGCAUGGUUUCAUUAUUAAAGGAUUCCGGUAAAGGAUGGGGAUGCGUUCCAUUAGGUUGUUGGUGAGGUAACGGCCCACCAAGCCUUCGAUGGAUAGGGGUUCUGAGAGGAAGGUCCCCCACAUUGGAACUGAGACACGGUCCAAACUCCUACGGGAGGCAGCAGUGAGGAAUAUUGGUCAAUGGGCGCUAGCCUGAACCAGCCAAGUAGCGUGAAGGAUGAAGGCUCUAUGGGUCGUAAACUUCUUUUAUAUAAGAAUAAAGUGCAGUAUGUAUACUGUUUUGUAUGUAUUAUAUGAAUAAGGAUCGGCUAACUCCGUGCCAGCAGCCGCGGUAAUACGGAGGAUCCGAGCGUUAUCCGGAUUUAUUGGGUUUAAAGGGAGCGUAGGUGGACUGGUAAGUCAGUUGUGAAAGUUUGCGGCUCAACCGUAAAAUUGCAGUUGAUACUGUCAGUCUUGAGUACAGUAGAGGUGGGCGGAAUUCGUGGUGUAGCGGUGAAAUGCUUAGAUAUCACGAAGAACUCCGAUUGCGAAGGCAGCUCACUGGACUGCAACUGACACUGAUGCUCGAAAGUGUGGGUAUCAAACAGGGUUAGAUACCCUGGUAGUCCACACAGUAAACGAUGAAUACUCGCUGUUUGCGAUAUACAGUAAGCGGCCAAGCGAAAGCAUUAAGUAUUCCACCUGGGGAGUACGCCGGCAACGGUGAAACUCAAAGGAAUUGACGGGGGCCCGCACAAGCGGAGGAACAUGUGGUUUAAUUCGAUGAUACGCGAGGAACCUUACCCGGGCUUAAAUUGCAGUGGAAUGAUGUGGAAACAUGUCAGUGAGCAAUCACCGCUGUGAAGGUGCUGCAUGGUUGUCGUCAGCUCGUGCCGUGAGGUGUCGGCUUAAGUGCCAUAACGAGCGCAACCCUUAUCUUUAGUUACUAACAGGUUAUGCUGAGGACUCUGGAGAGACUGCCGUCGUAAGAUGUGAGGAAGGUGGGGAUGACGUCAAAUCAGCACGGCCCUUACGUCCGGGGCUACACACGUGUUACAAUGGGGGGUACAGAAGGCAGCUAGCGGGUGACCGUAUGCUAAUCCCAAAAGCCUCUCUCAGUUCGGAUCGAAGUCUGCAACCCGACUUCGUGAAGCUGGAUUCGCUAGUAAUCGCGCAUCAGCCACGGCGCGGUGAAUACGUUCCCGGGCCUUGUACACACCGCCCGUCAGGCCAUGGGAGCCGGGGGUACCUGAAGUACGUAACCGCAAGGAUCGUCCUAGGGUAAAACUGGUGACUGGGGC